rnacentral:rRNA from 1 species
GACGAACGCUGGCGGCGUGCUUAACACAUGCAAGUCGAACGGAAAGGCCCUGCUUUUGUGGGGUGCUCGAGUGGCGAACGGGUGAGUAACACGUGAGUAACCUGCCCUUGACUUUGGGAUAACUUCAGGGAACUGGGGCUAAUACCGGAUAGGAGCUCCUGCUGCAUGGUGGGGGUUGGAAAGUUUCGGCGGUUGGGGAUGGACUCGCGGCUUAUCAGCUUGUUGGUGGGGUAGUGGCUUACCAAGGCUUUGACGGGUAGCCGGCCUGAGAGGGUGACCGGCCACAUUGGGACUGAGAGACGGCCCAGACUCCUACGGGAGGCAGCAGUGGGGAAUAUUGCACAAUGGGCGGAAGCCUGAUGCAGCAACGCCGGGUGCGGGAUGACGGCCUUCGGGUUGUAAACCGCUUUCGCCUGUGACGAAGCGUGAGUGACGGUAAUGGGUAAAGAAGCACCGGCUAACUACGUG